rnacentral:lncRNA from 1 species
CGAACGUGAAGGCCGAGUGGGAGAAACCUGAUUCCUGGAGAUAGCGAUACACCAAGAAAUUCACUUCGUCACUGGUUAUGCUCAUCUUAGCCCAACCUCAAUAUGAUGAGGUUUAUGAGAAGUGUGAUCCACGCUCUGGCCGUGAGACCCCUGAGCUGCUGAAUGCUGCUCCUCACAGGCUGCUGUCGGGAGUCUGGGGGUUGGAGUUAGCAUGGAGAUCACCACAUCUGACAGCGGAGAGGGUCAGGUGCAAGUGCAGUCAAGCUCCCCAGUUUCCCCCUAGAUUUUCCCUUCAGGCCAGUUUUAUCCUUAGGUACCUGCGCGCGGGCGCUGCGGGCGCGGCUCCGCUCCGGGGGCGGCGGGAGAGCCUGGGGCGGACUUUCCCUCACUUGCCGCGCAUGGUGCAACUCCUGGUGCCGGGGUCCCGGCCAGCCCGCCAGCAGCCUGCGAACCCCCCGCGCCGCCGCCGCCGCGCACGCCUCCUCCUCCCCCUCGGCGCACACAAGGAAGUCCCGGAGAGUGGGAAGGGGAGAGCGGAAAGUUUUGGGGCGGAAUGGCGGCCGCGGGCGCGCGGCGGCGGCGGGAGCGGCGCUGAGGGGAGCGGGCCGCGCCCGGAGCCCGCCGCCGCCGCCACUGCCGGGCGGGAAGGACGGGGGCGGGCGGCGGGGCGAGGAGGGCCGGUGGGGGGGCGAGCGGCCGCGCCCCCGCCCCCGGCAGCGUGCGGGGCUGCCCUGCCCGCCGGCCGCCCUGGGGGAACCCCCGCGCCGCGCUCCCACGCGGAGCGCCGCUCCCACGCCGCGCACACGCGGAGGAAACCUCCCCUCCCCCCACCCCCUCGGCUCCCCGCCGCCGUGACCGGGCGAGCCUCGGCCCCGGGCGCUGCAGCCGCGGCCGGGAGGGCCGAUGGAGGGCCGCGGCCCUAAGCCGAGGGAAAGGUGUAAACGCGGGCCGGGGUGCGUGCGUGCACGGGAACGGGCGCGGGGCCGCUCCGCUGCGGGCACACACCCGCUGCGCCCGCGGAAUGAUGCAACGCGGCCGCCGCGCCGCGCCGUGCGGCCACCCCUCCCCCCGCAGCCGCCGCCGCCGGCGUUGUUUCCG